GUCAGUUCCUUGACCAUCAGAAAGCACCACCUCAGGAGUUUUUGGAUUGCAGAAAUGAAAACUAGAGCUACGUUCCUGCUGCCAAAGUUCAGAAAACAUCCACACCGCCUGGUUCCAAUGUGUCUGAACACAGAAUUUCCUUGGUUCACAGUUCAGGCGUUCAGCACUAAUUUUUAUCCUCCAGUCCAGGAAGCACUGAGAGUCAUCUGAAUCAAGAGGACAGAACCUGUUACUCCCCAUUAAUGAUGCUGUGUAUGUGUAAGCACUAAUUAGCCUCCAUUACCUUGGAUAAGAGCUGCAGAGAGAGGAGAGCAUCAAAAUUUAAUGAGCCUGUUGUAGCCGCUCUGAAUCUUUGCUGUGUUUUAAGUGCUGUAUCGAACUCCUGAACGCUCUCUUGCACAAACACUACUGGUGCAUUCAGAUAAAUAGGCAAGUUAGUUGAUUCGAGUGAUAUUAGGUCAAGGGAAAAAAUUAUGUCCGCUUAAUAAGGGCUGCCUGUUUCUAGCUGAGAGCCACUUGUAUGAUAAAUUUACUUAUAGAAACACUUGAGUUUGGGGACAACGUACAUGCUCUCUGGAUGUCAUUUUAAUAAAGUGUUUUGGGAAUCUCAGAAAAAAAAAAAAAAACUAGAUGUUUGUGG